UACGUAGGCAGCAAGCGUUGUUCGGAAUUACUGGGCGUAAAGAGUGUGUAGGCGGUGCUCUAAGUUCGGUGUGAAAUCUCCCGGCUCAACUGGGAGGGUGCGCCGGAAACUGGGGGUGCUGGAGCGCGGGAGAGGAAAGCGGAAUUCCUGGUGGUAGCGGUGAAAUGCGUAGAUAUCAGGAGGAACACCGGCGGUGUAGACGGCUUUCUGGACCGUAGCUGACGCUGAGACACGAAAGCGUGGGUAGCAAACAGG
rnacentral:rRNA from 1 species